rnacentral:rRNA from 1 species
UACAGAGGUCCCAAGCGUUGUUCGGAUUUACUGGGCGUAAAGGGUGCGUAGGCGGCGAGGAAAGUUUGAGGUGAAAUCUCCAGGCUUAACUUGGAAAUUGCCUUGAAGACUUCCUUGCUCGAGGGUCGUAGAGGAGACUGGAAUUCUCGGUGUAGCAGUGAAAUGCGUAGAUAUCGAGAGGAACACCAGUGGCGAAAGCGGGUCUCUGGACGACACCUGACGCUGAGGCACGAAAGCCAGGGGAGCAAACGGG